rnacentral:rRNA from 1 species
UACGAAGGGGGCUAGCGUUGUUCGGAAUCACUGGGCGUAAAGCGCACGUAGGCGGAUCCUUAAGUCAGGGGUGAAAUCCCGAGGCUCAACCUCGGAACUGCCUUUGAUACUGGGAUCUUGAGUCCGGGAGAGGUGAGUGGAAUUGCGAGUGUAGAGGUGAAAUUCGUAGAUAUUCGCAAGAACACCAGUGGCGAAGGCGGCUCACUGGCCCGGUACUGACGCUGAGGUGCGAAAGCGUGGGGAGCAAACAGGGAUUAAGAAACCCU